GUGACCGCUCCAGUGGCCUAGUGGUUAAAGUCUCCGCCUUGGAUGCGGGAGGUCUCGGGUUCUAUCCCAGGUCGAGUCACA